ensembl:snRNA U6 U6 spliceosomal RNA
GUGCUCACUUUGGUAGCACAUACGCUAAAACUGGAAUGAUACAGACAUUAGCAUGGCCCCUGCGAAAAGACGACACGAAAAUCCCUGAAGCAUUCCAUUAAAUA